UACGUAGGUGGCAAGCGUUGUCCGGAUUUACUGGGCGUAAAGGGCGUGCAGGCGGCUUGUUAAGUGCAGGGUGAAAGCUCCCGGCUCAACUGGGAGAGGUCCUUGCAUACUGGCGAGCUCGAGGGAGGCAGAGGAAAGUGGAAUUCCCGGUGUAGUGGUGAUAUGCGUAGAUAUCGGGAGGAACACCUGUGGCGAAGGCGGCUUUCUGGGCCUUACCUGACGCUGAGACGCGAAAGCGUGGGGAGCGAACCGG
rnacentral:rRNA from 1 species